UACGUAGGAGGCGAGCGUUGUCCGGAAUCACUGGGUGUAAAGCGCGUGUCGGCGGCCUGCCAAGUCUGCUGUGAAAGCGCCUGGCUUAACCGGGCGAGGUCGGUGGAAACUGGCGGGCUGGAGGACGGUAGAGGGGGGUGGAAUUCCCGGUGUAGUGGUGAAAUGCGUAGAGAUCGGGAGGAACACCAGUGGCGAAGGCGGCCCCCUGGGCCGUUCCUGACGCUGAGACGCGAAGGCGCGGGGAGCGAACGGG
rnacentral:rRNA from 1 species